GCCUGGCUGGUUCAGUUGGUAGAGCAUGUGACUCUCAAUCUCGGGGUUGUGAGUUCGAGCCCCACGUUUGGUG
rnacentral:tRNA from 1 species